rnacentral:rRNA from 1 species
AUUGAACGCUGGCGGCAGGCCUAACACAUGCAAGUCGAGCGGAGCGGCGGACGGGUGCGUAAUGCAUAGGAAUCUGCCUGGUAGUGGGGGAUCACGUCCGGAAACGGGCGCUAAUACCGCAUACUAUCAGAUGAGCCUGGGUCGGAUUAGCUAGUUGGGGGGGUAAAGGACUACCAAGGCGACGAUCCGUAACUGGUGUGAGAGGAUGGGCAGUCACACUGGAACUGAGACACGGUCCAGACUCCUACGGGAGGCAGCAGUGGGGAAUAGUGGACAAUGGGCGAAAGCCUGAUCCAGCCAUGCCGCGUGUGUGAAGAAGGUCUUCGGAUUGUAAAGCUCUUUAAGUUGGGAGGCGGUACCAUCAGAAUAAGCACCGGCUAACUCCGUGCCAGCAGCCGCGGUAAUAC